CUUCUUCCUGCCAUUAUGUGAAGAAAGACGUGUUUUGCUUCCCUUUCUGCAAUGAUGAGAUUAAGACAGACAUACACAGAAGGAAGACCAUGGGAAAACAUAGAAAGAAAACUGCCAUCUACAAGCCAAAGAGAGCGAUCUCAGAAACCAACCCUGCCAAAACCUAGAUCUCAGACUUCCAGCCUCCGGGACUGUGAGAAAAUAAAUUUCUGUUGUUUAAGCCAUCCGGUCUGUGGUAUUUUGUAUUCUGUUUGGCAGCCCUCACAAACUAAUGUGGUGCCCGAUAAAUAUUUGCUGAAGUUGUUUAUUUCCUUUUUCCUUACAGACUGAAUUGGAAAUGGCUUUCUUUGUUGCCACGCAGGGCAGAAAUCAUUCUUUCCACAGACCUUGUCAGUUGUAGAAGAGCAAAGCAAAAUGUUUGCAGAUUAUUUUCAGCUACUCAAAUUGUUCCUAGUUUUUUUAUUAGUAGGAUUUUGCUUGUGGAAAUUUGACAUUUUAUUUGAGGCCACACUGGUUCACUUCUGUUUUCUACCAAUUCAUUUCACAUUGCAACCACAUCACCUGUGCUGGAGACUGUGUUAUUACAAUGAUUUGACCUUAGAUUGAGGUUUCUGUUGCAAAACCAGCUGAAGAGGUCCUAAAUGUGGAAAGCAGAUGUUUCUCUUCUGGCAUGUCUUGCAGAAUUUUCUGGCAAGAGAAUAUCUUCUGUGAAGAGAAUGCUUGAGAAAUGUCAUGCAUUUGGCAAUGAUUAAGAAAGAAAGGUAAACCUUCAACUCUUUGUUCUUAAAAGAAUUUGGCUUGUUAUUUAGUGGGAAGACAACUAAGAUGCAAAGAGCUUUUCUGCUCCUUUAAGAAAUUUGUUUUCUUUUCUAGUCUUUUGAUUCUUCGUAAGGCCAGAAUAUACUUUCUCGGGGACAACUGAUGAAAACACGAUAUAGUGGCUCUUAGAGAUUUAGCAUACUGAUGUCCAAGAAGACGUUGUUUUUAAAGUAUCAAAAGACAGGUCUUCAUUUGGACUGCUAUACAAAAAUGCCAUAAACUGGGUGACUUAAACAACACUGUAUUUCUGUCUCCCAGUUCUGGUGACUGGAAAUUUGAUAUCUGGGUGCCAGCAUCGUCCAGUUCUUGAUGAGAACUCCCUUCCUUAUUUGCAGAUGACUGCCUUCUUGCCCUACCCUCAAAUGGGGGAGAGAGAAAUCAUCUGUCUCAUGUCUCUGCUUGUAAGGACACAAAUCCUAUCAUGAGGGUAUGACUCUACCUUCAUGACCUAUUAUCUCCCAAUGACCCCACCUCCAAAUAUCAACAUAACAAGGAUGAGGUUUCUGCAUAUUAAUGGCAGGGACACCAACAUUCAUACUCCAUAUGAACUCGCAUAGUCCAUAACUAGGCGAGUGCCAACUAGUUAGUUUCUUGUCUUUUUUCUGUGCUAUAUGGAGGCUCUGCUGUACAUCUUCUGAGAUCCCAUAGUUACCAUAUUAAAAAGUAACAUUCCAGUGAGAAUGUGAAUAGCUUUUAUUAUAUUACCUCUGAUCUGGUGUGAAGAUGCCUUCAAAUAGAUUUAAGAAAUUACUCAUUAAAAGGAUAUUUUGCAAAAGGAAUUGCCAGUUGAUUAAAUCAUACUAGGUAUUAAAUUUUGCCUCAUGGAAAAACAAACUCCUUUGACAAAAAAAAAUUUCUUAAUUAAAGCCAUAUCUUUUCAUAUUAAUAAUGUUGCUGUGUAAUUAUAAUGUUUUAAUUUUAUAAUGUUUUUAUAAUUAAAGGACUUAGUAAAAUCCAUAUUCCUGUAUAUGUUUGAACAACUGGAGAUACAGAAAUGGAAAAGGAAAAGAAAAUCCAGGGAAGGGAACAUUAUUUAGAAAGGAAGCCUGUGAUACUCUUAAGGUCUGUCACUACAGCUUGCUAGAUUUCAGGAUGGGGAUAGGAGAUGCAGAAGAUGAGAGAGGAAAAAACAGAGAAGGACCCUGUGGGAGGGAAGGUAGAUUAAGAGCAUUGCAAACUGGCUUUAUUUAAUUUGUUUGCUUGAAGUAAAUGCCUUGACAUUAUCUGGACCACAAGACAUUCUAAAACCAAAUGGAGAUAAUUAGAUUUUUUUUCUCUAUCAAGGAGGAUUACCCAUGCAUCUCUAUCAGGUAAACAAGAGUUGGCAGUGAAAAAUUACAAUUGUUUACAUGAAUUAGUCAUUGUCUCACUGGGUCCCAGAUGUACCAGUGGAAUGCAUGGUUAAUUCAUAUUCUUGAGUCUGAAGAGGAUGUUUAAAAAUUAUCCUCUGUAUUUUCUCCAAGAGAAAAAGGCAUUUACAGAUUGAUUUAAAAAGAAAAAAAGCUCAAUUAUGUUUCCUCCUAAUAUAAAGGCUCACAGACAAGGAAAGCAAAGCAAACAACUAGAAGACAUUUGCUGUGCUCUUGACUUUGGGAAAGGCCAUGGGCAAAUUAUAUCAUUUUUAGGGAAUUUAAUUUCCUUACCUACAGAAAUAAGGCAUGUAAAUCAACUGAUUCAUCUGGCUCUCUUCAGCAAUAAAAUUUUGUACUUAUCAAGGUUCUUCCCAAGGCAGUAUGUUUUUUAUUUUUUAAAAAUAACUUAUUGAAGCUCAAUUCACAUAACUUAAAAGUAACCAUUUUAAUGUGAACAAUUUAGUGGCAUUUAGCACAUUCGGUGUUGUGCAGUCACCAUCCCUAUCUAGUUCCAAAACAUUUCUGUCACUCCAAAGUAAAACCCCUUGUCCACUGUAUUAGUCUGUUUUCAUGCUGCUGAUAAAGACCCCGAGACUGAGUAAUUUAUAAAGAAAAAGAGGUUUAAUGGACUCACAGUUCCACUUGGCUGGGGAGGCUUCAUAAUCAUGAUGGAAGACAAAAGGCAUGUCUUACACGGCGGCAGAGAAGAGAGAAUGAGAGACAAGUGAAAGGGAUUUCCUCUUAUAAAGCCAUCAAAUCUCAUGAGACUUAUUCACUACCAUGAGAACAAUAUGGGGGAACCAUCCCCAUGAUUCAGUUAUCUCCCACUGGGUCCCUCCCACAACACAUGGGAAUUAUGGGAGCUACAAUUCAAGAUGAGAUUUGGGUGGAGACACAGCCAAACCAUAUCACCCACUAAGCGGUUGCUCCCCUUCCCUCCCUCUCCCCGCAGCUCCUAGCAACUACCAAUCUGCAUUCUAUAUGGAUCCAUUUAUUUUGGAUAUUUCAUACAAGUAGAAUUGUACAAUAUGUUAGCUGUUGUGUCUGGCUUCUUUCACUUAGUGUACAUUUUGAAGGCUUAUCCAUGUUGUAGUAUGUAUCAGUCCUUUAUUCAUCUUUAUGUAAUAACAUUCCAUUUAGGUAUAUACCACAUUUUGUUUAUUCAUCCAUUUAUGGACAUUGAUGAACAUCAGUUGAUGGAUAUUGAUGACAUUUUGUUUAUUCAUCCAUCAAUGGACACAAUAACCAAAAAGACAUUUCCUUUUGGUUAUUGUGAGUAGUAGUGCUCUAAACAUGCUUGUACAUGCAUUUGUUUGUGUACCCGUUUCAAUUAUUUUGGAUCUAUACCUAGAAGUGGAAUUGCAGGGUUAUCUGGUAACUCUAGGCUUAGGUUUUUGAGAGACCUCCAAACUGUUUUUCACAACAGCUGUACCAUGUUAUAUUCCCAACAGCAACACAUAAAGUGUCUGAUUAAUCUACAUCCUAUUAUAGCCAUCCUAGUAAAUGUAAAGUAGCAUCUCAUUCUCCUUUUGACAGAGCAAUAUGUGAUCAGCUUAAUUCCUCUAAAGUCAAAUUUUAAUAGUAAAAUAAAGUUGAUGAUGAAGAUGUC